UCUCAAAUGUUGAAUGCAGCUGUGGUGAUACCGCCUCUUGCCACCAGAUGGGGGCAGCGCAGCCUUGCCUUCCAUGAAAUCGCCCUGGGGGUCGUAGGCAGGAAACCCUCAAACGUUGAUGCCCCCAAAGCGUAAGAAAUCCCGUUUCAGCAUCCGCCACACCUGAAGGCAGCAGGAUAUUUGAGGGGGUGAAAAGGAAGGCCACGAGGCACCCGGCUCUCCUCCAACAUCAGGGCUGCCCCCAGUGUCUGCUGCCUGAAGCAGCUGCCUCGCCCAAGGGUAGAGACGGCCCUGGAAAGGUGUCGUUUGGUGGGUUACAAGCAGAAGAUGGGCAGGAGAGAGAAGUGCCGCCAUCUUCGGCUGAAUGCCUCUGUUAGCGUUCUGCAAAGUUCAGUCCCAAGUGUGUUGAACUAAGACCCCCAUUAUCCACAGCUGGGAUAGCACAUGCUGGCUAGGGAUGAUAGGAGUUGAAACCCCAGCAUCUGGAGGGCUCCACAAUGGGGAAGGUUGGGUUAGGAAACGCGGUUUAAACAUCUAGUUUCAGACCUUUCCCCAGUCACUCGCACCCCAGGGCCACCAAGCGUUGUCCACCCUUGCUUGGUGGAUUCCCAUCAUCCCUGAGCUUUUCCUGUGCUGGCUGAGAAAAGUGGGAGUUGGAGUCCAAAAGCACUUGAGGGGCCGAAGCUGAACAUGGCUGCAAUUCCUCUCGGCCUUCCUGUUUUUACCGAAAAUAAUUAGUCCUAAAUAACCCACUCUUAAGAGCCUUGGACUUGGGACCAUGUGAGGGCAAAGGAAGUGAGACGCGAAUUCUGCAGCUGCAGCUGGGCUGGCAGAAGCAGGACCGGCCCGCCCAGGUCCUUGCAAUGCCUGAGCCAAGCACAAGGGGCGCCCUCACCCCACGCGGAAGCGCUGCUUGAAUGCUCUUUCAGUGUUGGAGCAUCUUUCCCCACUGCCUCGGAGGGCAGCGAGCCCACCUAGGGCCUCUGGAGAGACCAGGCAGUGUCCAGGACUUCAUCUCCCAAGGAAUGCUGGGAGAAGAGCUUUGGAGGAGCCACCUGGGCCGCUGCCAGGCCACGGCACCCCACUUCGCCGCCCGAGGUGGCCGCAUCACUCAGCUUCGGGGUGGAACAAGAGGAGGAAACGGCUUGGAGGACCAGUGGAGACCGUCAAGGAGGAUGUUCUUGUGACAGCUGCCAAUGCACCUGCACCGCAUGUGACACGAAAUGGACAGGUGUGAGAACUCAGAGAUAUUGCACACAUCUUCCAUGAUUGGGAAAGCGCUGGCUUGGUUUGGAAGACGUGGCUGGAAGGCCAAGGUUGAUGAGGGCGAUUGGCUAAACACCUCUGGUUCAACAAGGAGAUCAUUGCGGAACCGAAGGGGACAGUGUGAGUCCCUCAUCAAAGUGGUUUCUUGUCAAGUCAGAGGAGAAGGCCAAUUAAGUAACGUCUGGCAUUCUCAGCAUCUGACCCUCAAGUAACAAGGUAGUGUGAACCUCCCUGAGGGAGGAACCAGUCCAUUUUGGAGAAGAAGGGAAGAAGGGGAUUCAAUCUGGAAUCAACUCACAGGGGCAAGAGCAAAUUCCACCAAUCAGAGAGUUCUCUAUUUUGACUGAACACAGUUACAACUUCAGGCUGCAUUGCAAUGCCAGGCCUUGACUGGCUAACCCAGCUCAAGAAAGGACUGUAAUUUAGAAGCCUUUAGCCUUGCUCUUCUGGAAAAGGAAAAGGGGAAAGACAUGCUUAUGGCAAUUACCCUCUGCUGUGUCUUGCGUUCGUAUCUGUUUUUUGACUUUGGGCCCAAGCACCAACACUUAUUUAGCCAAGAUGGCACUGCCCAUGCAGAAAAAAGCAGAAUCAUUAAAUCUGAAGGAAAGAGACAUUUUGCACAAGAGGGGAGGGGAGGGAAGAGGAGGAGAGGAGAGGAGAGACCCCUGCCUUGCAAAGCAGCCCAAUGAGAAAUCGGUGUGCUCAGGUUUUAAGGGCUGGGGGUAAACCCAUAUGGGAAGGAAAACGGAAGGGAGUAUUGUGAAACAGGGCCUGGGGAUCAGGCCAUGCUGGAACUCCACUUCUUCACUAGCCAGAUAGCUCGUGUCUUCGUCCAGAGUGCAGGUUUCUCUGAGAACAACGGGUUUUCCAUGAAGUAGCCAAAGUCCACCCCGGGGAUUACGAAGGAAGCAGGACUUCCCAGCACAGGCCAGCCCUUGGAAGUCCCUUCUUGCGUGGCCCAUUGCCUGCCACUGACACACGUGAGAGAGGCGCGCAGUUCCGUUCAAAGGCAGUGCCCAGGUUGUGGCUCGGUGGCCCCCAGGUACACACAGCGAGGCAGAGUUCGUGGCCCUCGCGUGAGCCUCAACGGGCCUUCCGUGACCACGCAAAAGCGGGAUUCUCUGCCUGCCAUUAAAAAGAGUUGCCCACAAGGCAAACCGUAACUUACCUGCAAAGUAGAGCUCACCUGUUGAAUCACGAGGGCGAUUUCCUGGCAUCCUCAGCGGAAUCCAAUGCUGUGAGUGGCUCAUGUGAC